CACGCCGCUUCUCGCCCAUUCCUUCCCUCCAUUUCCUCCAUUUCUCUUUCAUCCAUUUCGAUUAAAUGAAACGAAGAUGGGCAAUAAAGAAGUAGAAGAAGAAGAAGAAGAGGAAGAAGAAGACGAACUUACGAACGAACAAAACAAUCACAAGGAAACUACAAAAAGAUUACUUCAGGUAAUUCAAGGGAGAGUGAGAUGAGCUCCUUGAAGACUGAAGGUGAGGAAGAACAUGAGUGUGAGAUGAGCUCCUUGAAGAUGAGGAAGAACAUGAGAGAGAGAGAUGAUUUCCUUGAAGACUGUGAAGGUGAGGAAGAACAUGAGUGUGUGAGAUGAGUUCCUUGAAGACUGAAGAUGAGGAAGAACAUGAGUGUGUGAGAUGAGUUCCUUGAAGACUGAAGGUGAGGAAGAACAUGGCGAGAACUGAGACCCCUUGAGACAUUCAUCCCUAGUGUUCAGUCCCUCUUGUUUGUCACCCUUCCUUCUGUUCCACUUAUCCACUUAACUGAUUUUUUUUACUUUAUUAUUUCAACUUUUUUCCACGUCUGUUCCACUUUAUUAUUUCAACACUUUUUUCCACUUUUUUAUUUCAACUUUUUUCCACUUACAUCAUUACCACUUUCACUACCUCCUCUGUCUUCAUCACCACCACCACCUCUGCAUCACCAAAGAACACCACCAAACCACUCCACCACCACCAAAGCACAUUCCCACUCACUCCACCGCCUCCUGCAUCCCUAAAGAGGCUGUACCCGCUCAUCCCUAUUCAUUCCCCAGCCCUGAAGAAGAGACUCAUCACCAUCAAGGACUCUGCCUCACUCUCCCCUUCCUUCUCUCUUCCCUUUCACUGUCUUUGCUUCCUUUCCUUCAUUCACCUUCCAGUACUUUCAUUUUCGUCUUCUUUCCUUCAUCUCUUUCCAUUCCUUUUCUUUUGUAUAUCUUCUGCACUUCCAUUCCUUUCCUUCUCUUCUUCUUCCUUUCCGUUUCAAUUUUCUACCAUUCCAUUCCUUCCCCUUCCCUCUCCUCUUAUUUUUUUCCUGUUGUCUUUACUUUCCAUUCCUCCUAUUCCCUUCUUUUCCCAUCGAGUCUCUUCCCGUCCCUUUCUUUUCCUUUCCUCUCCUUCCCUUUUCUUCUUUCCCUUUCAUUUCCUCUCCUUCCCUUCAACAUAAGCUAAGACUGCGAAUAUAAAAGCUGAAGAAGUCCCAUUACCACUACUACUACUACUACUACUGCUACUACUACUACUACUACUUCUCUCCCCAAUGCCUGUCAAGUCUUGGUAUGCUAAAGAGAUGUAGUGUUUAAGUCUUCUUCCUCCCUUCUCUUCUGCUGUCUGUGUGUGUAGUACAGGAGGUAGGCAGAUGCUCUCUCUUCCCUCCUCUCCACCCUCUUUCCUCCUCGCUUUCCCUCCCUCCUCCUGUCCGUCCUCCUGUCUGUCUGUCUUGCCACCCUCAGGAGACAGGCUCUGCAAGGGAAGGGUCCAGGCAGUUAAUGUGUGGUGGGUGAAGCGCUCAAAUAGACGGUCUUGAUAUGGA